CAGUCAGGAGGCCCCGGGUGGGCCACGACCUUGCUCUGUGAUGGGGCCUUGGUUUUCCUAUUUGAUGAGGGUGGUGGUCCUGGGACUGGUGGUGCAGAACAGCCUUGGUGGUCGUCCUCGAAAAUUCCUAAGGCUCCCUUCUGCUCUGAGCCUCUGGGAACUUCUUCUGUGAGUCUAAGAGGAAAGCUUGCAGGAAACGUGGAGAUGUUCUAACCCUACCUGGGAAGAUGCCCAGCCCAGCAGGGAUCCUGGCCCUGGGGGCGGGGGCAGGGACAGUGCUGCUGGCCUGGGGCUGUGGACCCUUAGAACCUCCUGUUCCGUCUCCACGACGACCCUGUGAGGCAGUGACGACCACCCUCUUAGCAGAAGAGGGGGCAGCUGAGGUGAAAGGGGUGGUCUCCUGCCCAAGGUCACCGGUUGGUGAGUUUCAGGGCUGGAACUUGCAUCCAAACCUUUCCCCAGACCCCACUGGACUAUUUCCCCAGAUCCCACACUCUUCCCAUUGGACUAAGUGAGAAAUCACUGUGACCCGAGGGGAGGAUGGAGGGGGCAGGAAACAAUUAAAACCUUCUAAUGUUCUUUUCUUAAAUGAUAGUCCCCGUAAUUACACUUGGAAUUCACCAGGCAUUUCCUUCCCACGGGCUUAGAGUCCCUGUCUGCAUGUAACAGGGUCAUUUCCACCGCAGAAGCUGGGGAGGCAGGAAGGGGGCCUGGGGGGCAGCGGCUUUCUCCCCAGUGGCCCCCACCAUCAGACCGGCUUUUCUGGAAUCCUUUCUAGAACAGCAACUCUCCAGUUGCAGGGCUUGUCCAGCUUUUGUUUGGUGGUUUAUUUGUUUUUAAAGCAUCUGUUUUCUUCUCAGUCCUUGGAGCGCGCUCAUGCUUGAUGAGGGUACUGCUGGUACUGCCCCCUCCUGACCACUCGGUUGUCUUCUUUCUGUCUGUUACCGCGAGCUUGUGUCACGAAAGUCGCCUUUAUGAUGACUGUGGGGGGUCUGCCAGGAGGCCGAGCGGGUGGGGCGGCUUCCUCUGGAUGCACAUCUCGGGGACAUCCCCUCCCCGUGCCGAGGGGACCCUGGGCUCCGCGCAGACCCCGGCCAGGUCCGCUGUGCUGUGCCCUGCGAGUUCUACAGGCACCAGGUGAGGCGGGGCUGCGAGGGAGAGGGCGGCCCUCCUGCCCCGGGGACCCCAGGUGUCCUUGCAGGGAGAGGGCGGGCAGUGGGCUCUGCCUGCUCCACAGCUAACGCAGAGGCACCAGGACGGGACUCUGCCUAGGAGGCACCAGGGCGAGGGCCCGGCUUCUGGGAAACGGAGGAACCGUCGAGGGACCUUUGCAGGUGGCCGCCUUAUCCAGACGCUGCAGCUUAACGACACUUCUCUCCAAACUCCUGGUGUCAGGUGGCAGCGGGAACGGGAUUUUCAGACGUGCAUCUGGCUUUCUUUGAGCACAGUCGAGCCAACGUUCACAUUAUCUCCGGGAGUAAGGGUGUCGUGAGUGAAAACGGUCUGCAGCUCAUCCAGAAACCCCCUGGGAGCCAGAGCCCUGACCCAGCCUGGCCUGAGCCUGUGGGAGGAUCCUCCCAGGAGCAGGGCCUUCAUCCCUGCUCACCUUCCAGCGAGGAUGCUGGUGAGUAGGGUGGCCAGGGCCCAGGAAGGAGAGAGGAGGCUGGAUGGAGGCCCCCUGCCCAGAGGAGGCAGCAGACAGCCUGGACCAGCCGGCUUCCACUCUGAACCUGACCUUGGGCUGUUGGUGCACGUUGUCGGGUCCAGACUCCGUUUCCUCACCUGCGGAUGCCCACGUGGGCUUUUUGAUCUCUUGAGCGCUCCUUAGGCCUGGAAAAGAAAGGAGUACCCACAACCGCCUUUCUCGUCUUACCUCCGUCUCUGCCCCUCCUCUCACUCCCAUUUUCUCUUCCCUCCUCUGCAGGGGCAGUUGUGGGACCGUCUCCCAGAUUCUUAAGAAGUAAAUUCUUUAAACCCUAGGCUACAAUCCCUCAUUUAAGGAAUAUUAAGGGUGGAAAGAACCUUGGAUCUUGGAGAUUAUCCAGGACACACUGUUAAGCUUUUUUUUUUUUUUUUAAAGGAAGGUACAGAAUAGCAUGAACAGUGUGAUACCAUGUGUAAAGCUAGUAAUAAAAGAAGAAGGUAAGCUGAUCAAGGAGCCAGUGUUUCUGCAGUGGAACAGUGAUGGUCUCAGAGGAGGGGGACAGUGUGGCCGGGGGAAAGAUACUCGUCACCGUGAACGUUUUUGUACCUGCUGCGAUUUGUGCCGUGAUCGUAUACUACCCAAACUCCAUCACCACACUCAAAACAGAUUCCAAAAAGGCAGGAUUCUGAGGCUCGGAGGAACGCUGUGGGCACAGAUGAAGCCGGUGAAGGGGCUGGGCGGACGCAGGCCGGCGUCCAGGACCUGGCCUGCGCUCUCCCCUGAAGGCCGGCCCAGGUCCACGUGGCUCUGGGAGCUGAAAGGGCCCGUUCUUCUCCUGUUGUCCCUGGCAUGUGCAUCCUAGCCUGCAGUGAGCAAGUAGUCAGGAAGUUUUGAGAUCCCUCCCCAGGCCGGCCAGGAGAAGGGAUCAGCGGACUUGGCCGCUGGUGCCUUUCCAAAGCCCCAGGUGCUGCCUGCCCGCUGGGCUCCCACAGACCCGCCCACCAGCCCCCUGGGAAGGAGGAGGGCUGGGGGCACAUCCGGACAGACCACAGGCCUCGCCCCCCACCUCUGAACCCUUCAUCUUCCCUAAUCGCCGGUCCGAAGAGACCUGGCUGAAAAUUAGUUUAAAUGCUAAGUUGAGUUUAAAACCACUAGUCUCAGCCCCUCUGGAAACGGGACACCAUGUAAAAAUAGAGAUUUUAAAUCAACUUGAUUUUCUAAGCUUUAUACAGCUUUGCUGUGAGGUUCAGAGCCCUUCGGCAAAAAAAUGAUGUUUGAAGAGAAUCAGGUGAGCCGGGAGGAUUCUUUCAGGAUGAAGUUGUCUACUCUUCAUUAAAAAAACAGGACCCCCUAAAAUAACCCUGAAAGAAGAUGCUGUGCUUGAAUCGAGUUUAGCAUCAGGGCAGCCCUUACCCUCUGCCUGGAUUCCUGUGUGGUGGAGGCUUAGCCAGGUGCCCUCUUUCCUUGGCAGAAUCAAAAGUAAUUAAGAGCAAAUGAUUGCUGGGGUCAUUGGAAAUGCCAGGGCCUCAGGAUCAUACUUGCAAAGCAAGCAGAAUUGGUCUUUUUCCAAAACCCUGCACUGAUGAGGCCACAGGGUCGUAAAUCAAAGGGCUUGCCUGCAAACCAGACCACUCUCCCCAAGCCACGUUUCUGAAAUAGCCUGCCUGGAACGCUGAUAGUGGGGCUGCCCGUCGGAGGCGGAAACACAGCAGAGUGUUUUGGGGGUGCCGGACCGCUGGGAGGAAGCAGGGGUACUCGUGUGCUUUCUCUCCUGAGUUCCCUGCAGGCCUCUGGACUGCGAGUAGUCAUUUGUUUUUGAGGGAGCUUGUCUUCCCAAGCCUCCUCAGAGCAUGUGAGCUACACAGAUUUAUGGUGACAUCUGUGACAUCCGAGGGACUUUGGACCGCGUGGCUGUGGACAUCGGAGUUUCCGCCCAGCUCCAGGAGGCAGCUCUGCAGCAGGAAGGGGUCUCUCCUCAGGCAUGUGGUUGGCGUGGCUCCCGGCGGGGUGGGACGCAGUGUUCUGUCGGUUCCGCUCACGGAAGACCCGGCAGCCAAACGCAGGCCCUGAGGAACCGGCCGUGCCUCUCUCACCCUUUUCCGUCGUCCUUCCAGCCCGGGCCCCUCUGUGGUGGUUGCAUCACAGCUACCGGGUUGCUGUGCAGAGUCCUUGUGAGGCUAAGUCCUUCUGUCCUCAACGCCUGCCACCUGCUCCUGGCAGGCGGUGACCAGGCUGAGGGGGUCCGAGCAUUGCCGUGUGCAUGUGGCAUUGGCUGCCCCGGCCUGGCCAGACAGACUGCCAGCCUCCGGGUGUGGCCCUAAGGCUACAGUUACAGAGACCCAACCUGUGUGGCCACGGCCGUUUCCCCUACUUUCUUCUGAAAGAGGAAUCAUCACGGCUCCUUUGGGAGGUCAGAAUGAGCCCGAGUCCACAACAUCCUAGGAUCCCAGCUCUGAAAGGCACCCCAAGAGGCCCCUCCCACAAGGCGGGCAGCGCUCACGGUUGUGAUGAAUGCUGGCUGCUCUGUUCAUCUUGUUACGUAUCCGAGGACAACUUUCUAACCAUCCAUCAGCCCCUGAGCCAUGAACCUGUAUCACACCUACUGCAUUCUCCUAGGUGUCGUGGGACAUAGGAAAACGGGAGGGCGCUGGUCUUGGCCUCAAAUAGCUACCAUGUCACGGAGAGGAGCCGGGAAGGAUGUCCGCGUAGGAAGACCCACCGUAGGGCGCCUGCAGUUCAGUCACACGCGUGGUGAAUGGCACUCGGGAAGACAGCUUUCAGCAUCAUCCUCGGCCAUCCGUGGAGGUUUCUUCCUGAGAAACGUGACCCGGGGGAGCAGAACUCUAGGAGGGGGCAUUUCAUCCUCUAUCCCCAUUUCUCCUCCUCCUCAAACAAAACAUUUAGCCCAAGAAAUGUCUUAUGCAGGCUGCUUCUCUAGUUGACUUAUUCACGACAAGAUCACGUCAAGUAACUUUUUCCAUUCUGGGAAGAUGCUGGGAAACAAGUGGAUCCAUCAGCAAAUGCUGACGAACAAGCUCUCCAGAAAUAAAUGUUGGCAGGGAACAGGGCAAAGCCUAGAGAACUGUGUCAGUCAUCAGCCAGAGCGGACCUUUUCAAGGGACCAGAGCCCUUGGUAGGGAGACGUGUGUUCCUUGCAGACCCCAGCCUAAGGGGCAGCCUGGGGCCAGAAGGGAGCGCUCGGCAAGCCCCACAGCCGAGUUCCGUCCCAGAUCCCUCUGAGCCAUGUCAUUCUCUCUCUCUGUGCUUUGAUGGCCUCAUCUGUGACGUGUACUGUGGUCUCUUUGGGAGACUGAGAAGCGUAAGGAGAUGAUGUACUUGAACUUCCCCGGCAUCAAACGCCCUGUACAUGCAAACUGUGUUAUUUAACUGUUCCCAGGGCCGGGCCAGGAUCAGGAAGCACAGUGGGAAAACCCCCCUCUGCCUAGGACAUUGCUCGCUGAUAAAAUGUGAUGUUACAUUUUC